UAACCCCUCAAGCUCAGCUUGGUGUUGGGGCCUGCCAUCUGGCAGCCCUUAAAAUCAGUGGCGGUGCCAUCUGGCUCUAAGCGUAGUAAAUUUUCUCGCUACAGAGUUCUGAAGGAUGCUUGCCAUCAACCCCCAAUUUUUUAU
rnacentral:misc_RNA from 1 species